AUACGUAUGUCGCAAGCGUUAUCCGGAAUUAUUGGGCGUAAAGCGAGUCUAGGCGGCUUGUUAAGUCAGAUGUGAAAAUGCGGGGCUCAACUCCGUAUUGCGUUUGAAACUGGCAGGCUAGAGUACUGGAGAGGUGGGCGGAACUACAAGUGUAGAGGUGAAAUUCGUAGAUAUUUGUAGGAAUGCCGAUAGUGAAGACAGCUCACUGGACAGAUACUGACGCUAAAGCUCGAAAGCUGGGGGAGCGAACCGGAUUAGAUACCCGUGUAGUCC
rnacentral:rRNA from 1 species